rnacentral:rRNA from 1 species
UUAAGCGACUAAGCGUACACGGUGGAUGCCCUGGCAGUCAGAGGCGAUGAAGGACGUGCUAAUCUGCGAUAAGCGUCGGUAAGGUGAUAUGAACCGUUAUAACCGGCGAUUUCCGAAUGGGGAAACCCAGUGUGAUUCGUCACACUAUCAUUAACUGAAUCCAUAGGUUAAUGAGGCGAACCGGGGGAACUGAAACAUCUAAGUACCCCGAGGAAAAGAAAUCAACCGAGAUUCCCCCAGUAGCGGCGAGCGAACGGGGAGCAGCCCAGAGCCUGAAUCAGUGUGUGUGUUAGUGGAAGCGUCUGGAAAGGCGUGCGAUACAGGGUGACAGCCCCGUACACAAAAAUGCACAUGCUGUGAGCUCGAUGAGUAGGGCGGGACACGUGGUAUCCUGUCUGAAUAUGGGGGGACCAUCCUCCAAGGCUAAAUACUCCUGACUGACCGAUAGUGAACCAGUACCGUGAGGGAAAGGCGAAAAGAACCCCGGCGAGGGGAGUGAAAAAGAACCUGAAACCGUGUACGUACAAGCAGUGGGAGCACAGAGCAAUCUGUGUGACUGCGUACCUUUUGUAUAAUGGGUCAGCGACUUAUAUUCUGUAGCAAGGUUAACCGAAUAGGGGAGCCGAAGGGAAACCGAGUCUUAACUGGGCGUUAAGUUGCAGGGUAUAGACCCGAAACCCGGUGAUCUAGCCAUGGGCAGGUUGAAGGUUGGGUAACACUAACUGGAGGACCGAACCGACUAAUGUUGAAAAAUUAGCGGAUGACUUGUGGCUGGGGGUGAAAGGCCAAUCAAACCGGGAGAUAGCUGGUUCUCCCCGAAAGCUAUUUAGGUAGCGCCUCGUGAAUUCAUCUCCGGGGGUAGAGCACUGUUUCGGCAAGGGGGUCAUCCCGACUUACCAACCCGAUGCAAACUGCGAAUACCGGAGAAUGUUAUCACGGGAGACACACGGCGGGUGCUAACGUCCGUCGUGAAGAGGGAAACAACCCAGACCGCCAGCUAAGGUCCCAAAGUCAUGGUUAAGUGGGAAACGAUGUGGGAAGGCCCAGACAGCCAGGAUGUUGGCUUAGAAGCAGCCAUCAUUUAAAGAAAGCGUAAUAGCUCACUGGUCGAGUCGGCCUGCGCGGAAGAUGUAACGGGGCUAAACCAUGCACCGAAGCUGCGGCAGCGACGCUUAUGCGUUGUUGGGUAGGGGAGCGUUCUGUAAGCCUGCGAAGGUGUGCUGUGAGGCAUGCUGGAGGUAUCAGAAGUGCGAAUGCUGACAUAAGUAACGAUAAAGCGGGUGAAAAGCCCGCUCGCCGGAAGACCAAGGGUUCCUGUCCAACGUUAAUCGGGGCAGGGUGAGUCGACCCCUAAGGCGAGGCCGAAAGGCGUAGUCGAUGGGAAACAGGUUAAUAUUCCUGUACUUGGUGUUACUGCGAAGGGGGGACGGAGAAGGCUAUGUUGGCCGGGCGACGGUUGUCCCGGUUUAAGCGUGUAGGCUGGUUUUCCAGGCAAAUCCGGAAAACUAAGGCUGAGGCGUGAUGACGAGGCACUACGGUGCUGAAGCAACAAAUGCCCUGCUUCCAGGAAAAGCCUCUAAGCAUCAGGUAACAUCAAAUCGUACCCCAAACCGACACAGGUGGUCAGGUAGAGAAUACCAAGGCGCUUGAGAGAACUCGGGUGAAGGAACUAGGCAAAAUGGUGCCGUAACUUCGGGAGAAGGCACGCUGAUAUGUAGGUGAAGUCCCUCGCGGAUGGAGCUGAAAUCAGUCGAAGAUACCAGCUGGCUGCAACUGUUUAUUAAAAACACAGCACUGUGCAAACACGAAAGUGGACGUAUACGGUGUGACGCCUGCCCGGUGCCGGAAGGUUAAUUGAUGGGGUUAGCGCAAGCGAAGCUCUUGAUCGAAGCCCCGGUAAACGGCGGCCGUAACUAUAACGGUCCUAAGGUAGCGAAAUUCCUUGUCGGGUAAGUUCCGACCUGCACGAAUGGCGUAAUGAUGGCCAGGCUGUCUCCACCCGAGACUCAGUGAAAUUGAACUCGCUGUGAAGAUGCAGUGUACCCGCGGCAAGACGGAAAGACCCCGUGAACCUUUACUAUAGCUUGACACUGAACAUUGAGCCUUGAUGUGUAGGAUAGGUGGGAGGCUUUGAAGUGUGGACGCCAGUCUGCAUGGAGCCGACCUUGAAAUACCACCCUUUAAUGUUUGAUGUUCUAACGUUGACCCGUAAUCCGGGUUGCGGACAGUGUCUGGUGGGUAGUUUGACUGGGGCGGUCUCCUCCUAAAGAGUAACGGAGGAGCACGAAGGUUGGCUAAUCCUGGUCGGACAUCAGGAGGUUAGUGCAAUGGCAUAAGCCAGCUUGACUGCGAGCGUGACGGCGCGAGCAGGUGCGAAAGCAGGUCAUAGUGAUCCGGUGGUUCUGAAUGGAAGGGCCAUCGCUCAACGGAUAAAAGGUACUCCGGGGAUAACAGGCUGAUACCGCCCAAGAGUUCAUAUCGACGGCGGUGUUUGGCACCUCGAUGUCGGCUCAUCACAUCCUGGGGCUGAAGUAGGUCCCAAGGGUAUGGCUGUUCGCCAUUUAAAGUGGUACGCGAGCUGGGUUUAGAACGUCGUGAGACAGUUCGGUCCCUAUCUGCCGUGGGCGCUGGAGAACUGAGGGGGGCUGCUCCUAGUACGAGAGGACCGGAGUGGACGCAUCACUGGUGUUCGGGUUGUCAUGCCAAUGGCACUGCCCGGUAGCUAAAUGCGGAAGAGAUAAGUGCUGAAAGCAUCUAAGCACGAAACUUGCCCCGAGAUGAGUUCUCCCUGACUCCUUGAGAGUCCUGAAGGAACGUUGAAGACGACGACGUUGAUAGGCCGGGUGUGUAAGCGCAGCGAUGCGUUGAGCUAACCGGUACUAAUGAACCGUGAGGCUUAACCU